AAUGUACAUAUUAGCACCGAUUUAUGAACAGAGCACCACAUUGGCCUAAGACAAAAAAAUAAAAAUAACUUGGAAUUAUUUUACACAAUUUUGUACGGGAACAUGGGGCCAGCUAUGUGCAUCUGUGGAAAAGAAAAGAGAAGAAAAACACACGGUUAUCCUAUAUAGGAGAUCAACAGAAGAAAAAAAAUCAAUAGACCACGGGCUAUUAUUCUAUGAUAUUGGAAAAUGAGGUUUCUAAACCAAACAACUCUUUUUAAUAGGAGAGCGCACUACAAGGACAGCGACAAUUUCAUUAACAAUAACUUUAAAAGCCUUUCAGACCAAGGAUAAAGCAGGUUCCUAUUUCCGGUUAAAAUAAAUUCUUUCUUGAACAAGGAAUGUCAGGAACAUGAAAAGAAACGUCAACGACUUAAUGAAACCAGACACGAUUUACAGUAUUGAUCUCCGGCAACAUAGAAAUUCUGAUUGAUUCAUUUCAGAGACGUGCGGCCUCCAAGACAGCAUCAGGAAAUUUUACGCUAGUUUACUAAUCCCGUAAGAAACAAGGCAACAUGGCAGCUACAGUGUCUUGUAUAUAAAUUUUGAAUACAAACAAAAAAGAAAAAAAAUACGGCAUCAAGUGUUUGUAAUAUCCUCCCUGUUAGGAUGUCUGACACUUAUAAAUUAGGGUAGGCUGUAGUAUUGUAGUAUAUAAAUGUUAUUCAGGCACUAUAUGGCGGUAUUAUCUGAGAAGUAUUCUAGCAUUAUAGCUCUCUAUUGUUUACUUUUCUUGAAAAAAAAAAUAAGUUUGCAGCCAUCCUCCUAUGUGUUUUGCUUUGGGAUCUUCACGGGAAAGUACAAAUUACAUAAUGACCAACACAGAUGUUCUGUAAAGGGUCAUUGUCAGACUACAUGAGGAUUUGGAGUUUAUUACG